rnacentral:rRNA from 1 species
GAUGAACGCUAGCUACAGGCUUAACACAUGCAAGUCGCAGGGUAACAUGAGGAAAGCUUGCUUUCCUUGAUGACGACUGGCGCACGGGUGAGUAACGCGUAUCCAACCUUCCCAUAACUACGGGAUAACCCGUUGAAAGACGGCCUAAUACCGUAUGAUAUCGUUUGCUGACAUCAAAUAACGAUUAAAGGUUUAGCGGUUAUGGAUGGGGAUGCGUCUGAUUAGCUUGUUGGCGGGGUAACGGCCCACCAAGGCGACGAUCAGUAGGGGUUCUGAGAGGAAGGUCCCCCACAUUGGAACUGAGACACGGUCCAAACUCCUACGGGAGGCAGCAGUGAGGAAUAGUGGUCAAUGGGCGAGAGCCUGAACCAGCCAAGUAGCGUGCAGGACGACGGCCCUAUGGGUGGUAAACUGCUUUUAUGUGGGGAUAAAGUGCGUGACGUGUCAUGCAUUGCAGGUACCACAUGAAUAAGGACCGGCUAAUUCCGUG